rnacentral:rRNA from 1 species
CCCCUGGCCUGCUCAGUAGCGGCGAGUGAGCGGCAAGAGCUCAGAUUUGAAAUCUCACCUAGUGUGCGAGUUGUAAAUUGCAGGUUGGAGUCUCGGGUUAGACGUGUGUGCAAGUCCCUUGGAACAGGGUGCCACUGAGGGUGAGAGCCCCGUAUCGUGCAUGUCGACACCUGUGAGGCCCUUCUGACGAGUCGAGUUGUUUGGGAAUGCAGCUCUAAGUGGGUGGUAAAUUCCAUCUAAGGCUAAAUAUUGGCGAGAGACCGAUAGCGAACAAGUACUGUGAAGGAAAGAUGAAAAGCACUUUGAAAAGAGAGUGAAACAGCACGUGAAAUUGUUGAAAGGGAAGGGUAUUGGGCUCGACAUGGGAUUUACGCAUCGUUGCCUCUCGUGGGCGGCGCUCUGGGUUUUUCCUGGGCCAGCAUCGGUUUUCGUUGCAGGAUAAGGACAAUUGGAAUGUGGCUCCUCGGAGUGUUAUAGCCUUUUGUAGAUGCUGCGUAUGGGGACCGAGGGCUGCGGCGGACUCGUUUCGUCUCGGAUGCUGGCACAACGGCGCAAUACCGCCCGUCUUGAAAAACGAAAAACAAC